UACGGAGGUUGCACGCGUUGUUCGGAAUCAUUGGGCGUAAAGCGCGUGUAGGCGGCCUGGUAAGUCGGGUGUGAAAUCCCGGGGCUCAACCCCGGAACUGCACUCGAAACUACCUCGCUAGAGUCUCGGAGAGGAAGGCGGAAUUCCCGGUGUAGAGGUGAAAUUCGUAGAUAUCGGGAGGAACACCAGCGGCGAAGGCGGCCUUCUGGACGGUGACUGACGCUGAGACGCGAAAGCGUGGGGAGCAAACAGG
rnacentral:rRNA from 1 species